GCGCUACUGCGCAAGAGCGGAAGUUCCUCCUUUCGGACCGGACGACGAGACAGUGAGACGCCUGUACCACGUUGCUCUUUCCUCCAUCGCACCAUCAAGAAGGUUGGCCGAUUCCAUAACCAGGCGGAGACAUAUUUAUGUGCAACGCGGUGCGUUGACGUACAAAUUUGGGGGAACUGAUAAAGAGUGGACUCUCUUCCACGGAGCCCGCACACAAUCUUAAAGAAAAAAAACGGGAUCUUCAACGCUGAUGAGAAGAUAAGCAAGACAGAGGUGAAAUAUGGUCUUCAGCCGUCUCUGAUAAGCAGCAAGACGGGUGAACUAUGGUCUUGGACAGUCUCUGAUAAGCAGCAAGACAGGGGUGAUCUAUGGUCUUCGGCAGUCUCUGAUGAAUGGCUGCAUAGACGGGUGGUAAAUUGGACGACGCGCUCAGUCUUGUCGACGGUAAGAAAAAUUAUCAAAUUUGCUGCGCAUCCUUCAGUGAUGGCUUCCGUUUUAAUAAGAUGUGCUGCCCUAAUUAAUCGACAAAUAAGCAUCCAAGGUUCGUCUCUCUAAUGCUGUCCUGAACUGUAAUUUGGAGAAAUAAAAAAACUUAUCAAACAUCAGUUGUGG